GAUGAACGCUGGCGGCGUGCCUAAUACAUGCAAGUCGAGCGAACAGACGAGGAGCUUGCUCCUCUGACGUUAGCGGCGGACGGGUGAGUAACACGUGGAUAACCUACCUAUAAGACUGGGAUAACUUCGGGAAACCGGAGCUAAUACCGGAUAAUAUAUUGAACCGCAUGGUUCAAUAGUGAAAGACGGUUUUGCUGUCACUUAUAGAUGGAUCCGCGCCGCAUUAGCUAGUUGGUAAGGUAAAGGCUUACCAAGGCAACGAUGCGUAGCCGACCUGAGAGGGUGGUCGGCCACACUGGAACUGGGACACGGUCCAGACUCCUACGGGAGGCCGCAGUAGGGAAUCUUCCGCAAUGGGCGAAAGCCUGACGGAGCGACGCCACGUGAGUGAUGAAGGUCUUCGGAUCGUAAAACUCUGUUAUGAGGGAAGAACAAAUGUGUAAGUAACUAUGCACGUCUUGACGGUACCUGAUCAGAAAGCCACGGCUAACUACGUG
rnacentral:rRNA from 1 species